AGCCAAUGCAUGCUUUUACAGUAUGGAAAUUGGUGAUUUAUAAUAACUUGGCAAAUCGCAAAGUGAAAACAGGCGAUAAAUCAUUCAAGUUUCUGACCUAUCAGCUUUCGACGGUAUGGUAUUGGCUUACCGUGGCAGUGACGGUUAACGGGGGAUUAGGGUUCGAUUCCGGAGAGGGAGCCUGAGAAACGGCUACCACAUCUAAGGAAGGCAGCAGGCGCGCAAAUUACCCAAUUCUAACAGUUUGAGAGAGGUAGUAACAAGAAAUAACAAUACAAGGCAAUUAAAAUGCUUUGUAAUUGGAAUGAUAGAAAUUUAAACCCUUUUUAAAGUAUCAAUUGGAGGGCAAGUCUGGUGCCAGCAGCCGCGGUAAUUCCAGCUCCAAUAGCGUAUAUUAAAAUUGUUGCAGUUAAAAAGCUCGUAGUUGAAGUUCUGCUAAAAGUAACCGGUCUGCUUUUAAUAAAAGUGGUAUCUUGGUGUGUAUUUAGCAAUGAUGUCCUUUGAAGUGUUUUUUACUUUAUUGUAAUAAAGCAUAUUCAGGACUUUUACUUUGAGAAAAUUAGAGUGUUUCUAGCAGGCCGACGCUUUGAAUACUGCAGCAUGAAAUAAUAA
rnacentral:rRNA from 1 species